rnacentral:rRNA from 1 species
AUUGAACGCUGGCAGCAUGCCUUACACAUGCAAGUCGAACGGUAGCGCGGGGCAACCUGGCGACGAGUGGCGAACGGGUGAGUAAUAUAUCGGAACGUGCCCAGUUGUGGGGGAUAACUGCUCGAAAGAGCAGCUAAUACCGCAUACGACCUGAGGGUGAAAGCGGGGGAUCGCAAGACCUCGCGCAAUUGGCGCGGCCGAUAUCAGAUUAGGUAGUUGGUGGGGUAAAGGCCUACCAAGCCGACGAUCUGUAGCUGGUCUGAGAGGACGACCAGCCACACUGGGACUGAGACACGGCCCAGACUCCUACGGGAGGCAGCAGUGGGGAAUUUUGGACAAUGGGGGCAACCCUGAUCCAGCCAUGCCGCGUGCGGGAAGAAGGCCUUCGGGUUGUAAACCGCUUUUGUCAGGGAAGAAAUCCUUUGGGUUAAUACCUCGGAGGGAUGACGGUACCUGAAGAAUAAGCACCGGCUAACUACGUGCCAGCAGCCGCCGUAAUAC